UACGGAGGUGGCAAGCGUUGUCCGGAAUUACUGGGCGUAAAGCGCAGGUAGGCAGAAUGUUAAGUCGGGGGUGAAAUCCCGGGGCUUAACCCCGGAAUGGCCUCCGAUACUGGCAAUCUUGAGGUCGGGAGAGGUGAGUGGAAUGGCGAGUGUAGAGGUGAAAUUCGUAGAUAUUCGCCGGAACACCAGUGGCGAAGGCGGCUCACUGGCCCGAUACUGACGCUGAGGUGCGACAGCGUGGGGAGCAAACAGG
rnacentral:rRNA from 1 species